rnacentral:rRNA from 1 species
CCUACGGGUGGCUGCAGUGAGGAAUAUUGGUCAAUGGGCGCGAGCCUGAACCAGCCAAGCCGCGUGAAGGAUGACUGCCCUAUGGGUUGUAAACUUCUUUUAUACGAGGAUAAACUCAGGUACGUGUACCUGUCUGUAUGUAUCGUACGAAUAAGGAUCGGCUAACUCCGUGCCAGCAGCCGCGGUAAUACGGAGGAUUCGAGCGUUAUCCGGAUUUAUUGGGUUUAAAGGGUGCGUAGGCGGGUUGUUAAGUCAGUGGUGAAAGUUCGCGGCUCAACCUCAGAAUUGCAUCUGAUACUGGCAGGCUUGAGGACAGUUGAGGUAGGCGGAAUGCGUGGUGUAGCGGUGAAAUGCUUAGAGAUCACGAAGAACACCGAUUGCGAAGGCAGCUUAUCAAGCUACCACUGACGUUGAUGCACGAAAGCGUGGGGAGCAAACAGGAUUAGAUACCCUAGUAGUC